GACGAACGCUGGCGGCGUGCCUAAUACAUGCAAGUUGAGCGAUGAAGAUUGGUGCUUGCCCCAAUUUGAAGAGCAGCGAACGGGUGAGUACGCGUGGGGAAUCUGCCUUUGAGCGGGGGACAACAUUUGGAAACGAAUGCUAAUACCGCAUAACAACUUUAAACAUAAGUUUUAAGUUUGAAAGAUGCAAUUGCAUCACUCAAAGAUGAUCCCGCGUUGUAUUAGCUAGUUGGUGAGGUAAAGGCUCACCAAGGCGAUGAUACAUAGCCGACCUGAGAGGGUGAUCGGCCACAUUGGGACUGAGACACGGCCCAAACUCCUACGGGAGGCAGCAGUAGGGAAUCUUCGGCAAUGGACGAAAGUCUGACCGAGCAACGCCGCGUGAGUGAAGAAGGGUUUCGGAUCGUAAAACUCUGUUGGUAGAGAAGAACGUUGGUGAGAGUGGAAAGCUCAUCAAGUGACGGUAACUACCCAGAAAGGGACGGCUAACUACGUG
rnacentral:rRNA from 1 species